ensembl:lncRNA
AGCAAACAAAUGAAAACAACACCAAAAAAGGGGGUAGGGAGAGAAAAAGGAAGCAAAACCAAAAAGAAAGCCAGCCUGCAAAUGUAAAUGCACCAGCUACGUGCCAAGUGAAGGUGCUGAUGCUGUGAUAAGCCUUCAGGUCUGCAAAGUUUGCUGGGAAGAAAAAAGGGAUUCACAUCCAUAGGGGAUCAGAGCGCUGCUCUGACGUUGCUAUUUUUCUUUCAGCUUGGAAGGUCCUUCCCCUGCUCUCCCCCACUGGAUUCAAACCAGGCAGUGAAGCCAGGUCUGUUCCUGGAGCCGCUGGAGGCUCACCGAUGUCUGUCUUCGGACCUCCCUGCUGAUAAAGAUUUAUGUGAUAGGAAUAAUUUGGUUGGGGUCAGGAUUUCUCCUCCAUGGAACCCAGGGCUACGUGGGGAGCUGCUGGGAUCCCAGCACAGCCUCUGUCCGGCUUCAGUUACAGCUUGAGCAUGGAACCAUUUCCCCUUGCCCCUCCGUCUCUCACCCAGCAGUGCAGCACAGGAGCGCUCUGAUUGCGAUCAUGCAGUCAUCGAAGGGGUCGUCCCCCAAAAGGAUGCUUUGAUUUUCGAUGUGACACCCAGGGCUGAGCAGCUCCGCUAGCCGAGUUUACGUGGGAUGUGAGUUUUCCCAUCGCUUUACUUCGGGACGUGCGGCGUGGAGCCCUGGGGCAAUGCCGGCACCUCCAGCUGCCCCUGCCCCCUGUGUUCUGCCCCUGCUGAGGGGGUCAGCCCCGAAGGUGAGGUGAUGGAGGGCUGUGGAUGGGCACGGCUCGGCGCUGGACAGAGGACCCACAGCUGCACUGAUGGCCAUCCCUGCCCCGGCCCCAACAGUGCCGCACGUGCAAUGCUGUGUGCUUUCCCGGGGGGCUGAAGGUGCUGAAUUAGGCGCUAACGUAUUUUCCUGUUGGAUCACUGUUUGACUCAAGAAAAUAAGAAAGGGCUAUUACUGCCUUCUGACCCGUUGCUUUGACAUUUGAGUUUCAGUUUGCUUAGCGUCAUAACGUUGAGAAAUUCAAACAGCUCUCCAGCUCGCAGAAUUAUGAACGCCUCCAUUUGGCACUGGAAGAAACCAGCCCUGCAUUCUGGAUUUCCUUACGUUUGCAUUUUCCCCAGCCCAGCAGGGUCGUUUUCCCUUUGAGAACAAUACAGGGCUUGGCUCCCCACGCUGUGCCGUGGCUGCAGCAGCUCAGUGCAGGGCAGGGCAGGUUGGUUCAUCCCCAGGAAGGCUCUGCCAGACACGGGGGCUGUACAGCUGUCCCAGCCAUAUGCCCUGCCCUGCCCUGGGCUGCAGAGGGGCCCUCGCUUUGCAUCGCUGCAUCUUUGCUGCUGCAGUCUGCACUGAGGAGCUGGAGUUGUUGAAGGGCUUUUCUACUGAUAAAUGGAUGGAAACCCGUAUUUUCAUCUCACGUCAUCAAACAUUCAUCAGAUACUCCUGGUCAGUACCGACAGAGCCAGAUUUGAACUGGUGACCCAGCAGUAAAAGGCCCCGUUAGCGAUUUCCCUGAACCAUCGAGCCAGGGUGUAACACAAAGGCAGUGCCGUGGGGAUUUGUGCCACAGGUGAAAGCAGGUUCUGAUUUCUGUUUGCUGAUGACCGUUACCAAAGCGUUUUGAAGGGGUUCGUGCUCCCGUGUGAUCCAGAAAUAGGAAGAGCAGCACUGCCUGCACCCAUCUCCCCACGUAGGGCAGUGCUGUAUGAACCCGACCCGUUCACAUACGUGGGUGGGGAGAGAGAGCCCCUCUGAGCCCCGGGACCCAAAAACGUCCUCAUGUGGCACUGUGGGACCGUCCUGCGCCGGGUCUGUGCUGUGAUAGUGCUCCCCAUAGGCAGGCAGGCUGCUUUGCCUCACAGUGCUGCUCUGUUCUUUCGCCAGCGAUUUUUAUAUCCCGGUUCUUUCUCUCUUUACAGAAUCAUUUGAAGAAAUAAUGUGUGAGGGGAAAAAAAAAUAUUACCUCCGGCAGUUGUGUUAUAACGGCUCUUGUGCUGACAGCCCUUUGGGAACGGUGGCAGCAGCAGGGUCAACAGCUAUUCCAGACCGACGUGAUGCGGGAGGGACCGGCCUGAUUCACAUCGCCUCAGCCAUCGCUUCCCUCGCAGCAUCUCCCCGGCAGAGCAGAGGUCCUGCUGGAGCCAGGUGGGGCCAUUAAAGGAGCUGUGAACUUUUUACAAGUCGCCUGAAGUGCCCUGGCCUCAAUCCAGCCCCGCUGGUGUUGCUGCGUCUGUUUCGCAGUUGCUCCAUCACACCCCGACAAUGGCUCUGUGUCGGCACUGCAGGAAGUCGUCCCUCCAGCUUUGCAGCGCCUUUUGGGGGGCGGCUGCUGCUUCCUGAGCCCCGCAGGGUGAGGUGUGUGCGGUGUGAGCCUCCCCGCCACCAUCUGCCUGGGAAGCGCGAGCAGCGUUUGUGUGUCAUCCGCAAUGGGCUGAAUGUUUUGGAGAAGAGAUCCUCAGAAGGAACACGGGAGGUGCGUUGGGUCGCCUUCACUCUGCACAGAGAUAAAGCCAGAGGGAUCCCUCAUUCCGAACAAGGCAGAGCCUGAACUUGAACUGCGGGUUGUCCAAAGCUCAGGAGAGAGUUUAAAGAAGAAUGAGGCGGGGAGGAGGAAUGAAAUGCCUCCGGUGGUUGAGCCCUCUCACCUGCCGGAGGACGUCGGGUCCGUCUGUGGCUGGGAAGUCUUUGGAUCAACGCAGGAGUGUGGAUGUAAGAAAAAAUCCUGUGCAAAACAUCUGUGUUGGGGAGGAUGCGACGAGCGAAACGCUCCCGAGCCCCUUUCUCCACACCAGCAUAAAACACAGCGCUGUCGGUGGCUCUGAGGCUGCCCUAAGCCCAGCGUGGUGUUGUCCCCGCUCUGCUGGCUCUUGGCUGGAGCUGCUGGCACAUCACCUGUGCACAUGUGUGCAUGCAAGGAAGAAAGUAGGGGGAAGUUGUCCCUGUUGCUGUCACAGUGCUGUCCCCGCCUGGCAGAGGUGCCCUCAGCCCGUGCUGUGCUGCUGCUCCUUCAGCAUCCAGGAAAAGGCAUGGAGAUGGUCCCCCAUUCCCCAUAACAGGUUUGUGCCAACCGCUCAGAAUAUCGAUUCAAAUGC